GUACAGGUGCUGCAUGGCUGUCGUCAGCUCGUGUCGUGAGAUGUUCGGUUAAGUCCGCUAACGAGCGCAACCCUUCGCUGUGUGUUACAAGUGUCACACGGAACUGCCGGUCAUAAACCGGAGGAAGGUGGGGAUGACGUCAAGUCAGCAUGGCCUUUAUAUCCUGGGCUACACACACGCUACAAUGGGAAGGGACAAUAGGUUGCGAAGCCGCGAGGCGGAGCCAAUCCUAAAAGCCAGCCUCAGUUCAGAUUGUAGGCUGCAACUCGCCUGCAUGAAGAUGGAGUUGCUAGUAAACGCAGGUCAGCAUUACUGCGUUGAAUACGUUCCCGGGGAUU
rnacentral:rRNA from 1 species